GCUUUCCUGUAGCUCAAAUAGUAGAGCAUGGCGCUAACAACGCCAAGAUCAUGGGUUCGAUUCCCAGGGAAAGCA